AGACCCGGAAACGCUGGCCAAUCACAGCAGACUGGGCUUUGUCGGGAGGGGGGGGGCUUAAAGAGACAGACGCUAAAACGGAGCGUUCCAGACAGAGGGGGAACUCCAGUAUAUGUAGACA